UGGCGGCGUGCCUAAUACAUGCAAGUCGAACGAGAAAGCCCUUCGGGGUGAGUACAGUGGCAGACGGGUGAGUAAUGCAUAGGUAACCUGCCUCCGAGAUGGGGACAACCUUCCGAAAGGAGGGCUAAUACCGAAUGAGACCACAACGACUUAGUCGAAGGGGUCAAAGGUGGCCUCUACUUGUAAGCUAUCGCUCGGAGAUGGGCUUAUGUGCCAUUAGCCUGUUGGUGAGGUAACAGCUCACCAAAGCUACGAUGGCUAGCUGAUCUGAGAGGUUGAUCAGCCACACUGGAACUGAGACACGGUCCAGACUUCUACGGAAGGCAGCAGUAGGGAAUAUUGCGCAAUGGAGGAAACUCUGACGCAGCGACGCCGUGUGAGUGAUGAAGGCUUUCGGGUCGUAAAGCUCUGUCGGAAGGGAAGAACUGCGCUAUGGCUAAUAUCCAUAGCGUUUGACGGUACCUUCAAAGGAAGCACCGGCUAACUACGUGCCAGCAGCCGCGGUAAUACGUAGGGUGCAAGCGUUGUUCGGAAUUAUUGGGCGUAAAGCGCGUGUGGGUGGCUUGUUAAGUCGGAUGUGAAAGCCCAGGGCUCAACCCUGGAAGUGCAUCCGGAAACUAAUUUGCUAGAGGGCAGCAGAGGGAGAUGGAAAUUCCUAGUGUAGAGGUGAAAUUCGUAGAUAUUAGGAGGAAUACCGGUGGCGAAGGCGGUCUCCUGGACUGUUCCUGACACUGAGACGCGAAAGCGUGGGUAGCACACAGGAUUAAGAUACCCUGGUAGUCCACGCCGGUAAACGAUGGGGUACUAGAUGCUGUGAGAUAGACCCUCACAGUGUCGUAGUUAACGCGUUAAGUACCCCGCCUGGGAAGUACGGCCGCAAGGUUAAAACUCAAAGGAAUUGACGGGGGCCCGCACAAGCGGUGGAGCAUGUGGUUUAAUUCGAUGCAACGCGAGGAACCUUACCUGGGCUUGACAUCCCCGGACCGCUCCAGAGAUGGAGUUUCCUCUUCGGAGGCCGGGUGACAGGUGCUGCAUGGCUGUCGUCAGCUCGUAUCGUGAGAUGUCGGGUUAAGUCCCUUAACGAGUGCAACCCCUAUCCCUAGUUGCCAUCAUUCAGUUGGGCACUCUACGGAGACUGCCGGUGUUAAACCGGAGGAAGGUGGGGAUGACGUCAAGUCCUCAUGGCCUUUAUGUCCAGGGCUACACACGUGCUACAAUGGCUGGUACAGAGGGUUGCCAACCCGCGAGGGGGAGCUAAUCUCAAAAAGCCAGUCUCAGUUCGGAUUGGAGUCUGCAACUCGACUCCAUGAAGCUGGAAUCGCUAGUAAUGGCGUAUCAGAAUGACGCCGUGAAUACGUUCCCGGGCCUUGUACACACCGCCCGUCACACCACGAAAGUUGAUUUCACCAGAAGUCGCUCGCCUAAC
rnacentral:rRNA from 1 species